rnacentral:rRNA from 1 species
UACGGAGGGGGCUAGCGUUGUUCGGAAUUACUGGGCGUAAAGCGCGCGUAGGCGGACCUGCAAGUCGGGGGUGAAAUCCUGGAGCUCAACUCCAGAAUUGCCUUCGAUACUGGCUUUCUAGAGGCUGGAAGAGGUUAGUGGAAUUCCCAGUGUAGAGGUGAAAUUCGUAGAUAUUGGGAAGAACACCAGUGGCGAAGGCGGCUAACUGGUCCAGAUCUGACGCUGAGGUGCGAAAGCUAGGGGAGCAAACGGG